rnacentral:rRNA from 1 species
AAGGAUCAUUAUUGAAUAAGCUUGGUUGGGUUGUUGCUGGCUCUUCGGAGCAUGUGCACGCCUAACACCAAUCUUCUUUACCACCUGUGCACCUUUUGUAGACCUGGAUAUCUCUCGAGGAAACUCGGUAUGAGGACUGCUGUGCAUUUAAUAAAGCCGGCUUUCCUUACAUUUCCGGUCUAUGUCUUCAUAUACACCAUUUGUAUGUCAUAAGAAUGUUAUAAUAGGACUUGAUUGUCCAAAUAAACCUUAUACAACUUUCAACAACGGAUCUCUUGGCUCUCGCAUCGAUGAAGAACGCAGCGAAAUGCGAUAAGUAAUGUGAAUUGCAGAAUUCAGUGAAUCAUCGAAUCUUUGAACGCACCUUGCGCUCCUUGGUAUUCCGAGGAGCAUGCCUGUUUGAGUGUCAUGAAAUUCUCAACCUUUUCGGCUUUUACCAAAGUUGAUUAGGCUUGGAUGUGGGAGUUUGCGGGCUUUUCUAAAGUCGGCUCUCCUUAAAUUCAUUAGUAGGGACCUUUGUUGCCUUAGCUUUUGGUGUGAUAAUUAUCUACGCCAUUAUGUGAAGCAGCUUUAAAUUGGAGGUUACUGCUUUCUAAUCGUCUCCGGACAUUUCCUGACAAUUGACCUC